UUUUGUACCACACAAGAUCAGAAACAGCUCUGUCUUGCAGGAAAGCACAUUCCACACCUGGGAAUCCCCUCACCAAGAAGUGUUAAUAUAACUGACCAUAUGUUAUGCACUGCACUACUGCUGCUGCUAAGACAGCUCUUUCUCCACAGGUGAGGAGGCCUUGAUGUAUGCCAUCAGCUGGGUGGGGAGUGAAGCCUUAGGGGAGAUGAGGAAGUAGCUGGGGGGUUCAGGUUGCUGAAUGCAACAGGUGGGAUUCCGGCCGUGUUUCAGGAUCAGCUGAGAUGCACACUGUUCAUCUUUCCAUCAUCUUCUCUUGGGCAGGAAGCCUAUGUGCGACAACAUUUAAUUUUCCGUCACUUCUGCAGUGUUCUUCUAACUGAGAAGCAGGAAAAGAUGUCAUUUACUAGCAGCAACACUUUAUAAAGGAGGCCCAGCUACUGUAAAACGAAUAAUCUCAAACUAUCAGCUCUCUUGAAAAACAAGUAUACUUCUCAUCAUUGGUGGAAGCAUGCCUGAACCAGAAAAAGGAGUUGUGUCUUACAAUGUGUUGGGCAUAGCAUCCUCAGUAACAGGUAUUCUUAAAAAGCGUGAACUUUCCCUACCCAAAUUAAU
rnacentral:lncRNA from 1 species